UAUUGGUUAAUGGGCGGGAGCCUGAACCAGCCAAGUCGCGUGAGGGAGUAAGGCCCUACGGGUCGUAAACCUCUUUUGCCGGGGAGCAGGGCGGCGGACGUGUCCACCGUUUGCGAGUACCCGGCGCAAAAGCGUCGGCCAACUCCGUGCCAGCAGCCGCGGUAAUACGGAGGAUGCGAGCGUUAUCCGGAUUUAUUGGGUUUAAAGGGUGCGUAGGCGGGCUUUUAAGUCAGCGGUAAAAAUUCGGGGCUCAACCCCGUCCGGCCGUUGAAACUGGGGGCCUUGAGUGGGCGAGAAGAAGGCGGAAUGCGUGGUGUAGCGGUGAAAUGCAUAGAUAUCACACAGAACCCCGAUUGCGAAGGCAGCCUUCCGGCGCCCUACUGACGCUGAGGCACGAAAGUGCGGGGAUCGAACAGG
rnacentral:rRNA from 1 species